CAUUGAUUUCUAUAUACUCCCGUGCCACCAAAAUUCAUUAUAUAGCCUUUAAAAGCUGUUUUCUGUGCAGAGUCAUGGUGGAUAUGUUUAUUAUUUUUAAUAGUUAUGAGACACGACCGUUGUGUCAAAGUCUAGUUGGGGAUCAUCACUCACUGGUAAGAUUUUCUAUUUUCAUGUGAUAAAAGAUCAUCCACCACCCUCAGUGAGCCUGAGCAAGUCGCCUAUCCACUUUAAGAGACCCAUUCUCAGCGUCAAAGUUAAUCGUGUAAUUACUGGUACCAGGUGGUCUACCGGGAUUAUCAUUUGUACCUCUAGCGCUGGUGACAUGGUCUGAAA
rnacentral:lncRNA from 1 species